AUAAGAGUUUGCUUUGAAGAUGCCUGAUGAGUAAAAGGAUGCUGAGUGUGGUCAAUGUUCCUCUCACCUUCUCUGCCACCAGCUCAGACUUGACUUCUGGCACUGCUGUAAGCAGUUGUAGCAAGACAGGUGAUCUCCUUGUACAAAUUCACAUACAAAUCCAGAAAAACAAACAGUGGAUAUGAAGAGGCAUUCAGCAGAAUUGGUGGUUGCUUAUAGUGCAGCUUGACUAAUUAGGCCAGCAUUUCCUGUGGUUAGUGUGCAAUUUAUUCGAAGAGUAAGAAAAAUGAAGAUGGGUUACCUGAGCAAUCGUUGAGAAGAUAAUGGAAAUAGGGAAGGAUCUCAGAAAAGUGGGAAACUCAGUUGUCACUCUGAGUAUGGAGAACAAAAUGUGAAGUCCAGGCUGAAAAAUGGGCAGAGCGUCCAAGAUAGGUGCCUUUAGAACAGGUAGUUUGUUACUUCGCCAGAUUUUUAGCUGGUAGUUCUCUAAUGCGGGUACAGCUUUAUUUCCUGACUGCUGAUGAUUCUGGAUGUUCAGUGUCACAUUGGCCAGUAUGUUCAAUUUGUCACAUGAGUGUAUGUCUUCUCUUUGCUUAAAUCGUGUAUUAUGCCAGCUGAUGGUAAAAGUGAGGUAAAUUGAAUACGGUGUUGUGUAGUUACUCAUUUCUACAGCCAAAAUAUUUAUGAGCAACUGUCUGCUUUCAUUUAAGCUAUGAUUAUACUUAAGAGGUUAGAAAAAAUUUGAGGGAAGUGCAAUUUCUGGUAUGUUUAUCCUGAACUUAGAACUUGAAUGAAAGUAUAAGUUAUGGUAGUUUUGUUCAUGCUGAGUGGUAUCUUACUCUAAACUGCAAGAUGCUACCUAAUGCAAGCAAUAGCUUCAUAUUCUGAUCCACUACUGAUAGACAUAAUUUUGUUUUAAGUUUGAAGGUUACAUGAAGAAAAACUACGUACUGAUCCUACAACUACUGAAAUAGUUAAUUACCUUGAAAUUGGCAAUAUGUUCAUUCUUUAUUCUGUGUAGUGUGCAUAUAUAUAUAUACUAAUCAUCAAUUAUUGUUAGCUUACGUUUUGUUAAUUUUGUAUACUCUUUAUUUUAUAUACCAUUUUUAUUGACUGCUCAAGAUAAACAGCCAAGACAUUUUGCAUACUUCCCUCCAAAGAUUUUUUUUUUAAAUUUAUCAUUUUUUACUUUAUAACCGGUCAGCCUGGUAUCAUAUGCAAAGCAAGCUGUAACUCUGAUAAGCUACGUCAAAGACUCACUGUGCUAGAUCCUAUCUUUGUGACAUUAUUGGAACUAAUGCACUCCAGAAAUAAUUGUGAAGAGUUAAAAAUGCUAUCCAAGAAGACACUGUGCCAUGCAGCUAUCUAAAGAAACUUAUCUUCAUUAAUACGAAGAGUAAAAGCAUUUAUUAAAUUUGAGGAAAACUGGAAGCUAGCAAUCUCUUUUUAUUUAAUAAAAUUAUGUAUAGGAUAUAUAUUGAUAACAAAGCUUUGACAAGCUCCUCAGAUGUUUUAAACAGAAUCAUUAUACGCAUAUCUGACUCUGUUAGUGUUAAGAGGCUAAGCUGAUUUAUUAGUACAGUAUUGCCUUAUGCUUGGAUUAUUCUUUGAACAUGUUUCCGGAGGGUUUAGUUUCACAGUCUCUUGGGCAUUGUAUUUUGUUGACUAGCCAUCAUCUUAACUUGGCCAAGAGCUAUCAGAUGAGCUUUCUGCCCAAGCUCCAUAAACUACAUCUGUUCUCAGUAGUUGACAAUGCAGUAAUCCUCCUCUAAAACUCCUUCUUGGGGCAGGUUAUAUCCUCACUUGCCCUGCAAAUUCAUCCUUUAAUUAGUUAGCUCUGCAGAUCAGUCACUUGCCUUGUAUUAUUUCAGCAAAACUUCCAAUACUGAAGAAUAUAAGAUGUAAUUAGAGAGAAAGAAGGAAUAUCACCAAUGACAAAAAGGCAAGACUGUGGAAAUCAGGAAGCAUUUAGCAGCGCUGAGAAGAAGAUCCAUCUCAGAUAGCAUAACCCGUAGCUAUUGCCUUGUUUUUCCCCAUGAAAGUCAAGGCAUUUGAAUUUCAACUGGUUGUAUUUUCUGUAUAAUGUUUGUACUGUCCUAGAGCUCGCUUUGUUAAUGAGGACAUUAGAUGAAACUGCAGAGAUGCAGUCACAUUUUCUUUUUUUCUACUACCAUAUAAUUCAGAAUAAAGAAGAGGAUGUUGUCAUAGGUAACCAUACCUUCAUUGUUGUCAUCUUGUCAGUAAAUCAAAUUUCAUCAAAUAAAAAUCAGAUGAGGAAAAGGAAACUAACUACUAGCAAGAGAAAAGGGAGUGGAUAUGUUGGGCUUAUGUAUUCAGCCUAACGGAGUUACUUCCUUUUAAGAGUGUGUGAAAGAAUCUAAAUUAACAUUGUGAAAUGGCACCAGGGAAUUUUGACUGCCUUCCCAUAAAGCCACUAGUAUGAGUGCUCUGGGGAUGAGAUUAACUUGUUUUACUAAAGUAACUUCACCAUUCUCACAUUUCUAAUCACUUUAUGUAACUUUGUCUUUUAUCUAGGGUGUUUGCAUUGUCUCUCUAUUUUUAUUAAUGAUUACUCUGAGUGUGUGAUGACUGAAAAGCGACCUGACACAGUGGCUGCGUAAAUUUGGAAAACACUUUUUGAAAUCUGUAGUAUACUCCAUGUACUAUUGGGUGUACAAAUGAAUUUUGUGUAUCAUAACACUCCUGGAAAAACAAGAGGACAAAGAAGAUGGGAUUGCUAAGGGAGACAUUAGAUUUCAUUUCACACUGAUAAUAGUUUAGAGAUAGUGCUGAGCAAAAUGGGAUUCAGUUCUGCAGCACUCCUUUAUUCCAGCUAAGUGAUUUCAAUAUCCAGUCUAAAGUGAUACUGAGAGUGUUCGAUAGAAGGGGGAUGAAAUCUGAGAGCCCUAAAGGCUCGGAGGAGGCCACAAAUCUCAGGCUGACUCAACGGAUCCUUUCAGAACCAUCCCACCUGACCUUAAACCAUCUUAUUUAACCUGGAGGCUGCUGGUAAGUACCUUGCAAUGUAACAUAUUGUUUCAUGUUAAAAGGAACCAUGCAACUAGAUUGCAUUUUGGACAUCAAUUGAUACUACUGUAGUUACGGUUUUGGCCAUGAACUUGAUGCUUUCAGAAACAUUUACGGCUAUGAGUUUAUUGCCCAGCUGUUGUUGUCUGGUAGACAUACCAUAUCUGGGAAAUGGUUUAAACCCUCUAGCCUUUUGAUUUAUGACUGUUGAAAGUAGAUGAAGUUUGCUAUACAAACAUG